rnacentral:rRNA from 1 species
UGGGGAAUUUUGGACAAUGGGCGAAAGCCUGAUCCAGCAAUGCCGCGUGUGUGAAGAAGGCCUUCGGGUUGUAAAGCACUUUUGUCCGGAAAGAAAUGGCUCUGGUUAAUACCUGGGGUCGAUGACGGUACCGGAAGAAUAAGGACCGGCUAACUACGUGCCAGCAGCCGCGGUAAUACGUAGGGUCCAAGCGUUAAUCGGAAUUACUGGGCGUAAAGCGUGCGCAGGCGGUUGUGCAAGACCGAUGUGAAAUCCCCGAGCUUAACUUGGGAAUUGCAUUGGUGACUGCACGGCUAGAGUGUGUCAGAGGGGGGUAGAAUUCCACGUGUAGCAGUGAAAUGCGUAGAGAUGUGGAGGAAUACCGAUGGCGAAGGCAGCCCCCUGGGAUAACACUGACGCUCAUGCACGAAAGCGUGGGGAGCAAACAGGAUUAGAUACCCUGGUAGUCCACGCCCUAAAACGAUGUCAACUAGUUGUUGGGGAUUCAUUUCCUUAGUAACGUAGCUAACGCGUGAAGUUGACCGCCUGGGGAGUACGGUCGCAAGAUUAAAA